UGCAGCGCCACUGCGAGGGUGGUCCUUUAUUGUCAGAAACCUCAUUCCCAGAAGGAGACAUGCAGUGGAAACUGAGCGUCCUCUGCCCUGCGGUGCCCAGCUCCAUUCAAGAAAGCACACCUGUGGAUGAGAGGCGCAAUUAACGUUAUCAGUCGUGAAGGAUCAGAAGGAAAACCCAGUGGCCGUUGGGAAUUUAGAGAUGGUGUUUCGCCAUGUUGGGCAGACUAGACUCGAACUCCUGACCUCAAGUGAUCUACCCACCUUGGCUUCCCAAAGUGCUGGAAUUCCAGGUGUGAGCCACUGUACCCAGCCCACUUCAAAUUUACCACUCCAGACCUUUGUUCUAGAUGGGGAGAACUGGACCCUAUGGGAAAUCAUACGGAUCUGAAAUUCACCCCGGAAACUGACCUGGGGUGAGGACAACAGGUGGAAUGAAACCCCAAGCAGACCCUAUAGAGGCAAGGAAGGAGAUUGAGACCCUUCUGCAGAAAGCUGUUAUGAGCCUAGAAUUUUAACUUAUGCUAUUGACACCAUGCCAAGCACCCAAGGAAAAGGAAAGAGAAGAACCUACACCGCCUCCUCCUUGCUAGUGAGUGAGGUAAAAUGAUCUGGGGAGGAAAAAAAACAAAAAAAAUGAGGUGAGAAACACCAGAUGGAGCAGAGAGACUGCCCAGAAAUUGCUGCUUUUGUCAACCUAGAUUUGUUUGCAGCAAUAGAGACCCCAAUUUUUAGUGGUAUAUGACUACCCAACUUCUCCAUGCUGCUAAGUGUGAUCCUGUGGCCAAGUUCAGCCAAUGGCAUUGAAGUACACGCGUCAAGUGGCAGCUUCUAGGAAUCUUCACUAAAGCGAACGCUGUGCACACUCUGACUUUCUUCAUUAUCUCUUCCACCUGUCUGUUGUUGAUGGACAUGAUGGCUGGAGCUGGAGCUGCCACCUUAGACCAUGAGGUGACACUGGGAAUGGAGACAUGUAUGGUGGACCAACAAGACAGAAGGAAUCCAGGUCCAUAAUGCUUCCUAGAGCAGAGCCCCACACCCAUCCUGGACCACCUGCCUCUGAGGUUUUAUGGGAGAAAGAAACAAAUUAGCAUCUUAUUUAAGCUGCUGUUACUUGGGCAGGGGCGGCCACUAUUACUUGGCAGCUGAACCUAAUCCUGACUGAUACAGUUGGGUCCUUUCCCUGGCUCAUACCAAGUGAUCCUUAAAUGUGUGUUGAAUUGGAUUAUGCCUGUGGUGUUGCAUCCAAUUUCACAAGUUUCCAUAGUUGGACUUCAGGGUUAGGCGUUCUGUCUCUGAAGAGCAGAGGGGCAGGUGCCUCUCCUUCAAUCCAUGUCCCUGUGCAAGUAGUGGUGAGUUUGUGACUCAGAAUAAAAACCCCUCUAGCCCUUUGAGCACAACGGAGCCUGUUACUGAAGGCCUGUGCGGUAGUUUGUUCUAUUUGCAGUAGAAUGAGGGUGGGUAAGAGGGACGAAGAGAAAGAAGUAGAGAAAAAGCAAAGCAGUUCUCUGUGCCAUUCCACUUUCUCUCCCAAUCUCCCAGGAAUAGGGAUACUAUUUCUUUUUUUAAUAUAGUGCUUUUUUUUUGUAGAAAUACAGGGUCUCACUAGGUUGCCCAGACUAGAUUCAAACUCCCGGGUUCAAGUGAUCCUCCUGCCUCAGCCUCCCAAGUAGCUGGGACUACAGGCAUGCUCCACCAUGCCUGGUGCAGAGUUGCUAUUUCUUGAAUACAGUUUAUAUCCAUGAUUACCAAUCCUGCAGGCCAGAGAACAUUUACCCUGCUUUGUACACAGUGUUCUACGGUUUGCUCAAGGCUCACAGCUAUGGAACCACAGAGCCAGGAUUGGAGUCCACGUCUGCUGGGCUUCAAAACCUGAGCUCUCCUCAAACCCACAUAUUAUACAUCUCCCCCAAAACCUAUCCAUCUUGCUGUUUGGAAAAACUUGUAAUCCCAGGCCUGCAAUCAAGUUGUUCUGAGUUGCUGUGACAGCAGGAGCCCACCACAAUCCAGGACACACAAGGUGGCGGAGAGGAUGGGCUUCCAAAUGCUGGGAUAUCAAAGUACAAAUCCCUGCUCUCCGGCUCAGCAUUUGUGUGACUUUGGGUACAUUCCUCGGCCUCUCCAUAUUCAUUUCUUCAUCUGCAAGCAGUAAGAACACCCAUCUCAAGGGUUUUCCAUGAAGGCUAAGUUUUAACCAAUGUGAUAACUUAUAUAAAGUGUCUGGCAAAAGAAGGAGCUUGUAUUAGUCCAUUCUCACGCUGCUAUAAGGACAUAUCCAAGACUGGGUAAUAUAUAAAGGAAAGAGGUUUCAUUGACUCACAGUUCCACAGGGCUGGGGAGGCCUCAGGAAACUGACAAUCAUGGUGGAAGGGGAGGCAAACACGUCCUUCUUCAUAUGGUGGCAGCAAGGAGAAGUGCAGAGCGAGGCAGGGAAAGGCCCCUUUUAAAACCGUCAGAUCUCAUGAGAACUCACUCACUGUCAUGAGAAUAGUAUGGGGGGAAUCACCCCCAUGAUUCAAUU
rnacentral:lncRNA from 10 species